rnacentral:rRNA from 1 species
UACGUAGGGGGCGAGCGUUGUCCGGAUUUAUUGGGCGUAAAGAGCUCGUAGGCGGCUUGGCAAGUCGGGUGUGAAACCUCCAGCUCACCUGGAGACGCCACUCGAUACUGCCAUGGCUAGAGUCCGGUAGGGGACCACGGAAUUCUGGGUGUAGCGGUGAAAUGCGCAGAUAUCAGGAGGAACACCGGUGGCGAAGGCGGUGGUCUGGGCCGGCACUGACGCUGAGGAGCGAAAGCGUGGGUAGCAAACAGG